rnacentral:lncRNA from 1 species
UUUAGACCAGACAAAAGCACGAGAGCACUAUGAAAACUGCUGUGUGGGUCUGGGAGGUCACCCAGCAUGGCAGUUUCUAGCACCAGGUCAAUUAGGAGUGUGCAUGCCAGAACAUGCAGCAGCAUAGAGAAGCUGCUGAAACACCCUGUAUGUCUCUGUAGGAGCAGUAAGAUAAGUCUCAUGAUGCUGAAGGCAUUAAAGACGUUUGUAUCACUCUCAGCCUGAAACAGGGAAAAGGAACAUGCAGCACAUCCAAUCACCUGCUGAUGCAAACUUUAGUUUAGGUUCUUCCAAGCUCAGCAGUUGCAUGGAACAGCAUCCCUGCCAGGUGCUGCAUGUGCUAAUAGACCUUAAUUGCCCAGAUAACCUUUGCCUGGGUUCCCCCACCCUGCCUGUGGCCCUUCAUUUAAACUCUCAGCAGGGCUGUAGGUGCACCUGUCUCCAGCUCUCUUCCACAGUGUGGUGGCACAGAGCUGUAGCUGGAUGGGGAGGGACCACCAAAGACCCUGGAGCAGGUGUCUAAAAUACUGUGUGAUUUCCUGCAAAGUGGAGCUUUUAAAAUCAAUCCCAAGAUGAUUAUUUGCUAAAUAGAGAUAUUAAGCAGCCAAGAAACAGGCUGUUAUGUAAAGGCUAUUAGCAGCAUCAAAGGCAUCACAGGAUCUGCUUAUCAGGGUCUUGACCACUCUCUGCAGCAGUCAGGUUCCUUGUGAUCAGCCCUGGGAGCUGUUAGAUGAGGCAGGAGCGCUGUGAGAUGUUCUCCUUCCUCCUUCACAGCCCAUCAGGAGCUUCAGAGAAACCCCAGAUUUGCUCUGAUGCUCUCACCCAGCCUGAAGCUGCCACCUGAGUCUGUUUUGCUGGGUAAACUUUAACCCAUAGGAAACUGGCAGGAAAUCCACAGUUCCAGGCAUUGAAAUAGUGUGCACUGACCCAGCCCUACAGUGGCCUUCAUCACCCCAACAGUAAGUUUUGUAGGUACAAAAGCAUGGAGUGAAUCAGGAGUAAUGUAACGGGGACAGAUGUUGUGCACAUGGCCCAAAACUCACAGCUCUGGCCUCAAAUAAGCAAUUGCCACUGACCAGCAGUAGGAUGCUGUCUGCCUGCAAAGCAGCAUGGACAUGCAAGCCCAGGUUGGACUGAAGAGGAUCCAUCACCUGCUCCAUCCCUGUGCCGAGCUGCUGUGCUUGGCAUCUCUGCUGAGAGCCUUGACCAUCCAUCCCCUCCCAGGGAAAGCUGCCAAUGAGAACAAAACAACAUCCAAAUCUUGAGGCAGGGGCUGUGGGAUUAAAGUUAAGCUCUGGUUUUGGAUAGAAGUAAUCAGAGUGGAGCUCUGCAGGGAAGUAGGAAUGAGAUGCUGGUCAUCUAGUCUCAUCUGCCAAGUCCUACUAAAUCCCAGUGUUGUUGUUCUCAGCCUGAAGCAAUUCUCACCAGUGCUCCAGCAAGCUGUAGGUGAUGGAGGGUGGGUGGUGCCCUGUGCUGAGCAGGUGAUGCUCCUGGUUCAGGUUUCCUUGCAGUGCUGUGAAGGGGAGGACCUGAGUUAAGGGCAGGGCUCCCCGUGGUAUUUUCAAUGGAUGUGUGAGGCUGUGACUCCCUGGCCAGAACUGGACGUGAGCUGUGGCGCCUUGGGGGCUUCUGUGGUUCAGAGCCCCUUCAGCUCCUGGAUUGCUUGGUGGCUGGGCUGUUUCGCUUAGCAUCACACAGCAGAAGGAAUGGCAGUACCAGCACGGGCUCUGAGUGUAGGAGAUUCCCAGCAGUGGGAACUGAAAGGGAAAUUUCACGUUGCUUUUGGGUUGGCCUGGUCCGAGAGCCUUCUCAGAAGGGCAAGCGUGACCAGCAGUUUAUCUGUAAGAUCUCAGAUCUGCUGUCCCCAUGCAGCCCUUUUGGCUCCCUCCUGCCAGCAGGAGAUGCUGCCGUGGUCAGUAAAGGAUCUGGGUCACCCCCAGUGUGCUGUUGCUGCUCCUCGCUUGUGUGUUACGUUGUUAUGCAGAGAAGCAUUUUCUCCCUUGUGGAGCCUUUCAGAGAGCUCAGCAGGUUGGAAGCAGGAGAGGGGAGAGAGCUGUGAAGUGUUUUGUAUUUAUCUAAUGCUGCAGGACAGUUCUAAUGUGAGCGCUUCGGUCUUAAUUAACUCUGUAUCCGCUUGGUAUUGUACUGCCUUUGGCUCCCUGGCUUUUGUAGAAGUGUGCAAAGGCACACGCAGCUCAGGCAGGCAGCUGGCAGUUUGAAAGGUACUUCUGAGGGUUGCUUAAUUGCUCCUCCCGGCAUCUCUCCAUGUUGCAGAGAUGGGUUUGCAGCGGGGUUUCUUCCAGAACGCAGCCUCCCCUCAGAGGGACGUGAGCCCGUUUGGUGCUCUCUGCCUUUUCUCUCUCCUUCUCCGUUCCUCAGGAAGCUGAAGCAGGAUUGUGCUCAGACCACGCUCCAGCACUUAGGGAUGAUGCCAUGGCAGGACUGAGCCCGGGGCAGAUGGGGCAGAGAGCACUUCAGCCUCCCUUGGUGUGGGAGAGGAUGGACUUUCCUGCACAUAAACAUGCCCAGGGAAAUACAGCAAAGCUGCUGUAAGCCCAGAGGAAGAUGCACGCUGGGCAGCUGGCCGAGAAAUGGGCGUUAAUCCUUCCUAAUGUGAUAACAAGAUCCAUUCUGGGGCUUAGUUUCUCAGGACUUUUCCCCAGAGCACAAGAGUCUCGCGAUUAGUGGGUUCAUUACCAUUAAUAAGUUCUUUGAACUGCUCUCGCUGGCAAGAACCAAGGCAGCCCGACUGGCCUUUUGUGCACGUGGAGGUAGGUGGUCUUGGCAGGGCAGCUGUGGAUGUUGGGGAUUCUCCCAUUCUGCAACACUUCUCAUUCCUGCUCUCUUCCUGUCUUUCCCCUUUUUGGUUUUGCCAGCACAACCUUCAAACAGGGGAACUGGAAGAAGGUCUUAGAUGGGCAGUGUUGACUGCUGAUUGAGGUAUCCUUUCCCACUGCCUUCUCUGUGUCACUGUGGGUCCCUCCCAGCCACAUGGAUGCUCGUGGUGUCCUGUGCCCAGGUAGACAAAGAAGGGAGAAAGGCUUGAAAAGGGCUGGGCAGGAGCUGGCCCUGGUGCACUUGAUUUUGGCCUGUUGAGGACAGGACUCUUUUGGUUUGUAAAUUAUUUUUUAGGGGGGGGGGGAUGUUGCAAAAAUGUGCAAGGCAGAGAGAAGGGAGGAUAAAACCAGUUAGCAGCAGAGCCACGCCAAACUUCAUCCACCCUUUGCAAUCAAGCUGUGCUUUAUUUCCCUGCUUUUAUUUUCUUCCCACGGUCACCAAAGUGUCCCCAGCGUCUCUCCACAGCUUAUUAGAUCACAGCCCGAGGCAGCAUGUCUGCAAGCAGCCUUUUUUCCUUCAGCCCAAGGCUUCCUAAACUGUGACUCAGAAGCAACAUGCAGCCUCUGAGAUCUGACUGGCUCAUCGAGGGCCUUUCAAGCUGCAACGUGUAGUGAAUAGAGAGGCAUGGAACGGGAUGGGGUUCGGUCCUAUGGCUCCCCAGCCUGGCUGCGUUCCUCCCUCCAACAAAACUGGGUGCGUGGGCACCCCCAGAACCGGCUGGCACAUUGCUAGCUGUGUACCUGCCCAACUGGGGUGGGCACAUCUGGAGGUUGGAGAUCACCUCUGGAGGCUGAAAUGAAGAUGAUUCAUCCAGGUCAGUGCAUGUGUGUCCCUCCUGCAGCUGGGAGGGCAGUCAGCUGCGUGCGGCACGGAAUGCCAUGUGUCACUGUGCCAUGGUGCGAAAGGCAGCUUGUGUGGCUGAACGCUGUGUGUCAUUGUGCCACAGUGGGAGAGGCAGCUCCCGGGGGCUCGGCUGUAGGAUCGGAGCAGAGCAUCACACUGACGCAUCAGCCCUUCUGUCUGAGCACUUCCAUGGGCAGUGUUCUUGGCACAGGCGUGUGUGUGUCUGCAUUUGAACAUGAAACUGCUCCCGGGAAAGGAGCUUGUGCAGCCAUAGCUGCUAAUUACCCAAUCAUCCC